AUUGAACGCUGGCGGCAGGCUUAACACAUGCAAGUCGAACGAGUGGCGGACGGGUGAGUAAUGUCUGGGAAAUUGCCUGAUGGCGGGGGAUAAAUACUGGAAAGGGUCGCUAAUAACGCACAUCAGUAGAUGUGCAUAGAUGGGAUUCGUUUGUUGGUGGGGUGACGGUGCUACAAGGCGACGAUGCCUAGCGGGUCUGAGAGGAUGACGAGCCGCACUGGAACCGUGGUACCGUCCAGACUGCUCCGGGAGUCAGGAGUGGCGAAUAUUGCACAAUUGGCGCAAUCCUGAUGCGUCCAUGCCGCGUGUGUGAAGAAGGCCUUCGGGUUGUCAAGUUCUUACAGCGGGGAGGAGGUACCCGGAAGAGGAGCACCGGCUAACUCCGUGCCAGCAGCCGCGGUUAAUC
rnacentral:rRNA from 1 species